CGCCCAAAAGCUAGCUCAAACAAACAAAACCACAACCCCCACAUCCCUACCCCCUAAUACACGC
rnacentral:rRNA from 1 species